rnacentral:lncRNA from 1 species
GAGAGUUAAGUUUUAUUUGGGACAAAAUGAAGACUUAAGCCUGGAAGGCAGCACCACAAGAAACCACUUCUAGGAGGGGAGGGUGUUAGCUAAGAUAUACAGGAGUUUUGUAACAGAGGGCAGGUAGUCAGAACAAAAGAGUACUGUUAGUCAAAGAAAACUAGAUAUCUCAAGUUCAAAAAUGUAGUGCUUUUCUGUGUAUGGGAGUAUUGCAAGGGGCUGGGCUCACUGAAAUCCUUCCUUUGAGAAGCAUCUCAGCUCUCUGGAGCAAGUACCGUGUGCUUUUCACAUCCUGAGGGCUCACCAUCACGAAUGACUGCAGUCCGAUGGCUGCGAGAUGGCAGGUAUUCUUUGUUCCUUCCUGAGUUCCCUCAGGGCUCACCAGCUCAGAGGUGGCUGCAAUUGCUGAAGACUGUGACAUCUUUAUUUACUGCUAUAGGAGGCAAUAUUGUAUUUCUCACCAGCAAUUUGUGUUGUCAGGAGUUUUUGUUUUAGCAACUCUUAUCAGUGUGCAGUGAUUUAAUUGUUUUUCAAAUUAACAGAAUUUUAAAUGUAUAUUAUAUAAUGAGUGUAAUUAAAACAAAAUACCAGUGCAUAAAAGGAAGAUAUGUAAAAAUAUGCAAGCAAUUGAAGAAGCUAUAAAAAGAACACCAAAAUUAACUUUUUUUAAUUUAGAAAGCAUAGACAAAAUGAGAAUAGUUUGCAACAGCCCCAGAUUUCUCCCUGAAGGGAACAGCAAGCAGGGUAGUGUAAGGGGAAAUCAUAUACAAAUUUAAACAACAGCUUUACACUGGGAACUAUGUCGGGUCACUUAUGAUGAAUUAUGAUAAUGUGAGAAAAAAGAAUUUAUGCAUGUAUGUGUAACUGGGUCACCAUGCCGUACAGUAGAAAAUUGACAGAACACUGUAAACAAGCUAUAAUGGAAAAAAAAUUAAAAUGACUAUAUAUAUAAAAAAAUAAUAAAAUAACAGCUUUAAUUCUCCCUGUUGAAAACAAGGGAAGAGACUUAGCCUCCCCUUCCUUUUCUUAGAGCAUUUUCUUUAGGAAAGUUGCAAAUUUUUUUUCUCUCUCUCUUUAAAAUGAAUGUAAAUCUUUUUAAACUUUAAAUGGACCCCUUGAAUACUGUAAACCAGCUAUAAUGGAAAAAAAGUAAAAAUCAUUAAAAUAAAUAAAUAAGUAAAUAAAUGGACCUCCUGACAGAUUUACGACCCAGGAAUGUCUUUCUUAAGGACCUGGGAGCCAUCCCAUUGAAAUGCAAUCAUCAAGGAAGAUGGUGCCCUAACACCCCCUUUUUGUGGGAAGGUAGAAGCCUUCAGCAGAUUCCUUGGGCUCCUCACUCCAAACUGCAAAAUACCUUCAGCCACAAAGAUAUGAGAAUUUUGUUUUUCCUUUGGAUGAAGCAAAUUAGCAAACACAGAUGGCCACUCUAAUUAUCAGGUGAAUCUAGGAUAAAUUAUGCGUGGCAAAUGGUGCUUUCAGCUCCUCUAACUUCAGGGCUAGUUACUAUUUAUCUUGAGAACAUGUAUAUAGUGGGUUAUAUCUGCUUGGCUGCAUAAAUACCUAAGAUUCCUGUCUUUGCAGUCUCUUAGCAGAUUGCCACAUGCUUCACAUUUUGUUUUAAUGCUUACUCAGUGACAAAUUGUUUUCUUUCUCUUCUACCUUUGUGGAAAGUCUUCUGGGAUGAGAGGAGGUUUUGUUUUUAAUUAUAUAUCCCCCAACAAAAGCAAAUGCCAUGGACUGUGCACGCAGGUCAGAAAGAAGAAUUUUCCAGAUUCAGAGCAAGAUGAAGAAAAGACAAGUUUAUUGAGGCAAGGAACACUGUUAACACAGUGGGCUGACUUCCUGAUAAUGAAAGAGAGCCAAUCCUGGAGAUAAAGAAUAGUUUAAGAUGAGAGAUGUGGGAGUUUUCAUUGUGCUUAGCAGGUUAUGAAAGCAACUAGUAUCUAUGAGGAUGUGGAUUCAAUCCCUGGCCUCACUCAGUGGGUUAAGGAUCUGGCAUUGUCGUGAGCUGUGGUGUAGGUCACAGAUCAACACUGGAUCCUUAACCCACUGUUUUUUAUUACAGGGGGUCUCAGCCAAAAACUGUAAAGGGUAGAGGGAAAAUUCUUUUUCAACCCCAUGGAAUAAUCACAGAUGAGUUGUGUGACCCAGACACAAAGCAAGUUCUGAGGCCAGGGACCAAACCCAGGCCACAACAGUGACAAUGAUAGAUCCUUAAGUGCUAGGUCACCAGGGAGCGCCUAUGAUCAUUUUUAACGACUGCAUAAUGUUCCAUUAUAUUCUUUAGUCUAUUGCAACCAUGUUUGACCAUCCAUUAAGUUGCUUUUGGUUUUCUGCUAUUGCAAACAAUGUUGAGACAAACCUCUCUGUAUAUUUGUUUAAUUAUUUCCAUCAGACAAAAGUCCAAAGAACGGGGUUUCUGAGUCAAAUGGCAGACAUUUAAGACUUCUGAUGCCAAACUAUUCUCCAAAAGCAAAAUUCCCAACAACAGUUCAACAACAUUAAAGAACACUAGCUUCCCCACACCCUCACCAACACUGGCUGGAAGGUAUAGUUUCAAAGAUGAGUGCUGCGUACUGGUGCUCUUUGCCUCUUUCUCCACUGACAGCCUGGAAUACAGGUGCUUGAUAAAUCAAUCCAGGCUACAGUCUAGUAGACGCUCUGAUCCAAUAUGACUGUUCUGGGUAUCAAAGAACUCUCCUUCUGGUUCACUGCCCUGGAUGCUGGCAUCGUGUAGACCCUAUAAAGGCAGUAGCUCCAAGCACAUUACACAGAAGGCCCUCACUCUAUCAAACCACAGGCCAUCUGCUCCCAGGCCAUCCGUUCAGCCAGGAAGCUCCUGCUCCUGGUCUGUAUAGCCCUCGGAUUCCUGGUGACCCCAGGUAAACUGGAUGAGGGAGAAGACAGAUGGGACUGGGGGCCAGGAACACUAAAUCUUUGCUUGGCUGACAGACAAGCCAGGUUGAAAGCAGGCAGGGCUCAUCUCAAUGGGUUCCAACCUAAAGUUGGAAUCUCCCAACAUCCACCACUGGCCUCAAUACCCCAUACCCAGCCACCACCUUCUACCACCCUGUACAAAAACACAGUUCCUGGAGUUCCUGUUGUUGCUGUUGUAGCUCAGCAGGUUAAGAACCCGACUAGUGUCCCUGAGAUGUGGGUUCGAGCCCUGGCCUCGCUCAGCGGGUUAAGGAUCUGUCACUGCUGUGAGCUGCAGCAUAGGUCACAGAUGGGGCUCAGAUUUGGCAUUGCUGUGGCUGUGGCAGAGGAUGGCAGCUGCAGCUCCAAUUCAACCCCUAGCCCGGGAACUUCCGCAUGCUGUGGGUACACCCUAAAAAGACCAAAAAAAAAAAAAA